rnacentral:lncRNA from 1 species
AAAAUUCAGAAAAUUUAAGGUUGUGAUACUUUUUUUAUUUUAAUUAUUAAGAUAUUUUAGAUUCGUUAGAUUUUAUUUGAUUGUUUAGAUUAAUUGUUUAUUGAUGAUCUUGAUUUGAUUAAGAAAGAGACUAUUAUUCUUUUUUUAUUUUAAUUUCGAUUCAGGCGAAUCGUGCAUAAUGCAUAAUAAAAGUGAACCAUACCAUAUUGCAUAGUGCAUUGUGACU